CCUACCAAAUUCUUGCCCAUGUAAUAGCAUGGGCUGUCCAGCAGCAAGUGUAUUUCUAGACAGCAAUGAACUGAAUGAUGUUGAGUUCUGUGUGGGCUGAUAUGAAGAAAGAGUCUGGUGGACAGCCAAAUUUGGAAGUCCUAAACUGGAACCGUUGGGUCUGCUUAUUGUGGUGGCCUGUGGAGUGAUUGAAGAUGCAGAUGAAGAGUGGAGGAAAAUAGCC
rnacentral:lncRNA from 1 species